rnacentral:lncRNA from 1 species
GCUUUGACUCAUGACCAUCUUUAGGCUUCAGUAGACCUUAGGCUUCAAUGAGCCUUUAACUUCAAUGGGCCUUGAUCAUUUAGAGCCUCACGAUUUAAAAGGUGCCUCACGUUGGGAGAGAAGGUUUCAAUCCAUAUAAGCCAUAUCUCCUUUUGACUCAUAACCGAUGUGGGACUAAAGAAUCCCUCUCUACACCACAACAUAGCCCCCCAGUCAAGAGAGAGUAUGUAUGGAUAGGAGGCAAUUUUACAGACGGCGCCAAUAUUGUGGUAAUGGAUCAAGGGGUCGAAUGGCUCAGAUGGUUG